UAGUCUCUUUGGCUUCCGCUCUCACUCUGUGAUUUCCUGUUCUGAUGUCAUCUGCCAGGAGGCCCCCAGCAAAGGCCAAAUACAUGGAUCUGCUAGAACCAGGACUUUUGGCUUCCGGGACUGAGCUAAACAAACCUCUUUCUUUACAAGUUGCUCAGCUUCAGGAUUGAUGCAAAGGCAAGGGAAGGAAAGCUAAGCUGAUCUGGAGGUCCAGGAGGAGAGGAGGAGAGAAAACAAGGAAGAGUCAGCCUAAUGGGACCUGCUCUCUCAUCCCUGCUUGGUGAAAUCCUCACCUUCUUCAGGUUCUGUUUGAUGACAUUUCCUUCUGAAGCCUUCUUUUCGAAUGUCUCAAACAAAACUUAAGCAGCUCUCUGUCAGAAAGCAUCCCUCCCUUCGCAGUUCUCGCGUCCUGGAGUGAUCCCGCCCACCAGGACUCCGAUCCAUUCUAUUCACUUGACCAAGAAGGCCACCAUCUUCCAGGCUGUGUUAGCUUCUUGACUACUCCGGCUGUUUCCUCCCCGCCACAGUCUCCUGAAUAUGGAGGCAGACAGUCCCAAGAACAGAGGUCAACGUCAGUCAUUUUUCUACACCAAAAAGUCCAAGAACAGGGUGUCAAUGUCAUUCAUUUUUCUACACAAAACCUCCUCUAGAGGCAUCUCAUCUCACCAUCGUGACAUGAGGACCCAGGGCACAGAACACAUUUGGUAAACACUCUCUUUGGUAAAGGUGUGCCCUUACCUCGACCCACAAAGUCUAAUAAUGACCUUUUCUGUCACCUGUCCGCUAGGUAAACCAUUCACUACACUCCUCUUUUCCCUCACAGACUCCUGGCCUUCUAACUCUUCUACACACACACACACACACACACACACACACACACACACACACACACGCACGCACACACGCACGCACGCACGCACGCACACACGCACGCAGGCAUGUACGCACAGACCUCCACCACUACCCAAGCCUCACCCAACUCCCGGCUGCAGCCUGUAAACCAGCAAACCCUGCUCAGAGGCUCUUCCUCUAGAAUCUAGAGUCUAGAUCAUCUCAUGACUCACUCCUGUCCUUACCAGUUUCUCUUCAAGUUUUAAACUUUGCUUUGAAACAUUUCUUUAUUGUUCUUCCAUGCAGUAGAUAUUGUGGCGGGAAUAUGAAGAUGAGUUGAAAUAGCCUCCUCCCUCAAGAAACUAUUAUAUCGAAUUGGAGAGUGGCCUUCCUGGAAAGUUUCCUAGAAGGGGGACCCCAUGAACUGAAUCUUAAAAAAAAAAAAAAGGAGUUAAGGGAGAGGAGGGGG